AGAUUAAUUUUGUAAUUAGCCGUUUUUAAAUUUAACAUAUGUGCGGUAUAUAGGAAAUUGAGAUUUCCAGAUAUUAUUAUGGAGAUAUUUAACUUUUGUGGAACUAAUUUGAUACGGUCUUAUCUAAUCUUUGUUGUCUGGAAGCAUGCCACCUAAAAUCUUAUAUGAUUUUGAUCCAUUCUUAUCUAAUCGUCGCGUUUAAGGUAGUAUUAAUGGUAAGACUAAUCAAUUGGGAUGUGAAUAUUUAAAGUCAGCUUAAUCAGAAUGAACUUUUACUGGAUCGGAUUUGUACGUGAAAUCUAGUUAAAAGAACCGUGAUUAAAUGGUAAUGAUAUAUUUGUUUUCAUAUUUGCAUAAGUAUAUAGAAAUGUACUUUCAUUCAUCCUUUUUCAAAGAAAAUCAGAUUCAAUAAUCUUUGUAAGAGAAAAAAAAAACAAAUUCUAUAUACGAUACUCAACCCGCGCAGGGUGCAGAUUUUAUUCUACUUCUAUGAUAAAACUAUGAAUGAAUUUGGACCAAGAGUCAAGUCUUUUAGCUGUGUAUAAGUAGCAUGACCACCUUAUUAUUAUUAUAAUGGUCUAAAGAAAAACACAACUCAAAACAUAAAACCAAAACCGAUUUUACGCAAAGAAAGAACCAUGUCCGACGCUCAGGAGUCAUACUGGUGCUACCGCUGCUUCAAACAUGUAGCCGUUAGAACCUUAGACGACGAGGUCCUGUGCUGCGAAUGCAACAACGGUUUCGUCAGGUUAAUCCAGGCGAUUCCCGCCGCUCAUUCAACUGAGAUUGAAGUGCAGUCGUACGGGCUCCAUCAGCGAAGAGAAAGUAACCUAGAGAGAGUAAUCAACCGCUUAUGGUCUAGGCACGAAGCUUCGCCUCCAAAUACAUUGGAACGAGUCGCCGAUAAUAUUGGUGGAAGGAGAGGAGCACCACCAGCUGCGAAGUCAGCGGUUGAGGCGUUAGAGACUUUUGAGGUUGGUUCUACUUCUUCUGAGGAAGGAGAGAGGACGGCUGUGAUGUGUGCUGUGUGUAAAGAUGCCAUGGUGAUGAGUGAAAUAGGGAAGAAGCUUCCAUGUGGACAUUUUUACCAUGAUAAUUGUAUUUUGCCAUGGUUAGAGACAAGAAACUCGUGUCCUGUUUGUAGGUUCCAGCUUCCGACUGAUGAUCUCCGGUAUGAGAGGAAGAGAGCAAGAGAAGAACCACAUUUGACUGUUUCUGCUGGUGCUUCUUCUGUUUCUGCUGGUGCUUCUUCUUCUUCAUUGAUGAGUGAAAGAGAAGAAAAUAACAACCAUCAUGUUUUUGAGACGAGAAGGCGAACAUCUAGGAAGGGAAGACCAAACAGAUAUACGGGUCAUUUUGCUCAUUGAUUGAAGUCAACAUGUAAUCUGCUUGCUUCUUGUUCUUGUUCUUCUUCUUCUUUUUCUUCAGCUUCUCCUCUCUAAUCAUUAAAUGACCUUUAAAUCUCAAGCCAAGAAAUCUAUCAAAACUUAAUAAUAUCAUUUCUAGAGGAAUGACCUUUAAAACUUUUAUGAAAUUUUGCAAUCGCUUGCAAGUCUAUAUAACAAGGCCAAGUAAUAUUGUUUUUAAUAAGAUAAUUACAUACAACUCAAGGGAUCCAGAAACCUACCAUGACCAUCAAAAUUUUUAGAGGUGAAUCAAAUGCUCCAGUGCUCUUAACUGAAGAAUUUUUUUUUUCGUACUCCUCCAAAAAUUAAUUUAAUAAAACUUUAUUUAAAUGGAAAAUUAGUAAAAACUAAAUCAAGAGAAACUUGCAUAAUUACAAGCCUAUCAAGAGUAUUUCGCGGACAAUCUAAACCCGGCUCAUAAAAUUCGGAUAUUCUUCUCCAUAACUUACGAACCCAGAAUGCUAUAACUUAGUAAAUUUGGUGUAACUAUAAAAUUUUGGAUAACUUUUAGUAAGUUUGGUGUAGCUAUAAAACUUAGUAAAACUUCAACUAAUUUAGAUAGUAUCUUUUACAGCACCAUUUCCUAACCGCUAUUAAUAUGUUAAUUUUAUUCGUAGCACUUUUACAUUUGCAAUAAUUUAUUCUUUUAUUUUCUGGACACAUGAGUUAUUAUUGAUAUAUUUAUUGAAGUUAAAUUUUUUUAAAAAGAUAUAUAUAAAAAACAACUAGAAAAAUUACAUAAUGUAAAAUGUAUUUUACAGAAAUUUAGUAAAAGUAGAGAAAAAUUACAUGUCAACACACAACUAAUCUCCAAUUGGCCAGUCACAAGCAGUCAAAUAUAUUUCAUCGUAGAAGUUCCAAGUUGCAUAUUACUAGAAACAAUGCGCAUCUCCACUUUGUUCUUGAUCCAUCUAUGAAGACUACAAACACGGGUUCUUCUAUUUUAUAACACCAACACACAUAUUUGAAAAAGUCUCAUUCGAUGGGAAUUCUGCAGCCAUAGCGUAAAGCUUAUGGAGCCUAACGAUCAUUAUGAAUCUCUUUUGUCUCUACAACAAUCCCAUUCAUAGUCAAAGCUACCAAUCAUGUCGAGUGUUCUCCUAAAGAUCGCCAUCUCAUAAGUGAGUGGUAUUCAUUUUUAUUUUGUGUUAUCAGUUAUGUUUUCAAGAAUCCUAAGUUCUCUGAAAUGAUUUUUCUUCGCAGCAAUAGCAAUAACUCGUGUUCGAACAGACGUUGCCUAUUGCAUUCACGACUUUUCUAACAGCUUGCAUAAAACUAGAAAGUGGACGGUACUGAUUCACUCUCUCAUUUCUAACAGCACGUUGAUUGUUUCUGAAGUUUAAGUUAAUAAACAAGAUCAUUAUAUGUGUAUUUUCAAUUGUUGUUGCAAGGUAGGUCGCACUGAAAACACUAAUUUGCUUUACUGACUUCUAAGGUAAGGAGACUCCACGUUCUUAGAGGAGCUUUUUAAUUUUUUCAAAAUAAAAAAAAGUUAUUUUGGUCUUUUUAGAGUUAGUUUUGUGAUAAAAACUUUAAAAAGUUAUUUAAGAGAAUUGUCAUCUAUAUAUCUAUAACUAUAAAGGAGAGUUUUCUCUCACUUCCUGCAGCCACGUCAUUUAGGAGAUAUGGGCUUUUUUCGCCACGUGGCAACUCAAUCACUUCAGAUUCAGCCGUACCUUUUCCUCUUCGCCUCGGUUCUACGAGGUAACGUCGAGUUGAAUCAAUGAAACCCAUUACCUCUUCUUAAACGACUCUUUUCUCCGAUCAAUUUCACAAGUGAGUUUCAUAGUUCUUCUGUCUGCUAACGUUUUUUCAAGAGUUCUCCAGAAAAGAUCCAAAAAUGAAUGGUUAAUUUCCAGAUUCUAUUUUCAGAAUUGAAGGAAGGUCAUUGCAGAGAAAAGGGGUAAGUUCAUAGGUGUUGACAUGGUUCUGAUUGACGGGAAGAUUAUCUGAUUCUCUUUAAUCUCUUAUAAGUUACUUUAAUCCAUGAUUUUAUUUCAAUCCUUCACCAUCUAGAUUCAAACACCUGCUCAAACAAGGAUCCUUUUAUGAGCUAACUGUUUUUGAUGUCACCAGGAGCAUCCAAAACUUCAGAUUCGCUGAUGCCCCUGUUUCAAUCAGAUUCGUAGAGCAAACAAGUUUCGUCGAUAUCUCAGCUAGCAAUAACCCUAGCCCAACAAAGAGCUUCAGGUUUUGUAAAUUUCGACCAGCUAUUGUCACUGGCGAACACAAACACUGAAUUGCCAGUUAGACACUUCAUUACCUGACCUAUAAUUAAUUUCAUCCUCUAAAAUCUGCCAUUAAUCCUUAUGUUUCUCUGCAGAUAUCAUUGGGGGAGGUGCGGGGCAUAAGGACCACUUAGACCGAGAUACUAAUCCACUUGACGCCUCAUGUCUGAAGCCUGAACUCAUUACUUGCUUCACAUAGAUCCCCUUAGCGGUUUGGUUGUUGUCGUCUGACCUUACGUCGUUUACAUGACAUCUAGAUUACAUCUUCAGGUUUAGUUAACAUGCUUCCCUGAAGUACUAAUUAAGUCUGUGUGUGGUUAGGGAAAAUGUUCAUUCUCUGUGUUGUUGACUGCUUCCUGCUAUUCUGAGAUAUCUAAUUUUAGGAACUGUGGAUCCAAUUUAAUAUAUACAACUUUAUUUGUCUUUGGUACAGAACAGAGGAAGAAGUUUGGAAUAGGAAAACAUUCUCUCUUAACCCUUAGUUUCUUUGUAUCAAACUUUUUAAAAAAAAUAUAUUAUGUGAUGAAUGUCAUGAUAAAAGUCUAUAACUUUGUGUAGUGGUAUUAAUUUUUAUUCAUUUUGCUCUGUAUCUUUUGAUAUUUUCAUAUGUGGAAAGGUGGAGGCUAUGGGUUGCAAAAUGUCAUUUAAUUGUUAAUGUCCGACUGUCUGAAUGCUCAACUUUGCAGGGACGGACCCGCAUGCAUAAGUGUAUUUGGCAACCUCGCAGAGCUCAUCGAUGAGGAAUUAGUAAUGUCAGGUGUGGAACCAAAGGUUGUUGUAGCCACCAAUAUCAACCCUAAAUUAGUUGGAGAGUUGGUCACCACAAGGUUGGUCUCGGUAGGAAGGUUCAUCCUCAACGUCUACAAAAUAUGGUGGUGUUAAGAAGAUCGGAACGUUAACACUGUCUGAGCUAAAUGCUUACAUCACAUCUCCCCACAGGUGACCACUUUCACGUAACCCAUCUGUUAGUGCGUUUCUUGACCGACAAUUUCUUUCACUUUCGUUGGUGCCUUAUCCAAAGGUUUGAAACCAACUUCUCUGCUCUUCCACUGAUAAAAUACUGAAUAUAUUAAAAAUAUUAAUUGGAUCGAACUGUUCUCUUUUGUUUUGAGUGCAGUGUCCCUGAGAUAAAAGAGCAAACAACGAAAGAAAGCUUUCUGUUACAUGGUAUCUCACCAGAAUCAAUCUUUUUUGGACCGUGAGUAUCUCCAACCACAGAAUGUAAUGUCUUCUUUUUUUUUUAAUUUUUUAACACAGAAAUAGUAAUCAGCUCGAUAUAGCUUUACAUCAAAAAAAUUCAGGACAUAGAUCAAAAUGUUGUCUCAGUUCAGACGCAUGCAUUUGGUUUCUUUAAUCAGGUAUUGCAAUGAGGAAAGUAAGAUGAACGUUGUGUAUGAGUAUAUGAAAAAAGGAAUGCUUAAAGACCAUCUGUAUGACUCGGAUAAUCCUAGGUUGAGCUGGAGACAGAAGCUUGAGAUAUGCGCUAAAGGGCUUCACUAUCUCCAUACAGGUUCCGCUAGAGCCAUUAUACACUGCGUGUGAAGUCUGCUUCAGGCCAUUGAAGCUCUCGACCCGAACUACGAACUGGUAGUUUACUAGAACCACAAGAAGCAAACUCAAUCGGAAUAGAAAGACAACUUCAUAUCAUCAAACUGAUCCGUGGUUUGAGCAAAUUUGACGUAACAAAAGCUCCGAGAGCAACUCCAAGACAACAAGAGUGACUACCUUUUGGAUAGAUAGAGAACAUUUCUUUCUUUCAUUUUUUUUUUUGUUGCAUUCAUCCAGAGUCUUUUGUUCUUUUUAUUCUCAGCAAAAUUUUCAGUAACCAAAUAACCUACCUUAGCGUUAUAAACGUAUAACUAGGAACAAUAAAUGUUUGAUUCUUUUGCUAAUGCCAUCUGAUAAUAAUACAAAAGAAAUUCAAUCCUUUGUAUUGCUCAACAUGUAAACUAAAGAAUUUAACCAAAUUUGAGUGUUUUCAAAAACUGAGAUACAAGUUUAUUUUGUAACGACUUCCUUGGUCGGGGUGGGUUGGGGACCAUAUUAUCUCAUUUCUCCUGCUCUUGGCUGGGAGGUCGGGAUAAUGCUUCUUUCUUGGCAAAGCAGUUGAUGGAGCUUUGUUAGCUUAAAUCCUGGGCCCUUUCAAGGAAAAUUUCAUGGGAACGUUCUUAAGUGUGACAAUCGUUGCUUUCUUGUGCUCUGUUAAGCUUCACAUGAUGUCCAAGUCUUUCUAAUGACUACACUUUGUUUAGGUACGUUUUGGGUGCUGUACUGGAGACUUUUUUCAAAGCAUUUGAUGGGAAAUGAUCUUUUGGUAACGACUGAAAACACAAGACACAAGAUUUGUUGAUGGUCUCGAACCAGACACAUGUUAGUAAGACGGUGAAAUGAAGUUUUGGUUAUCUUGAAUAUUAAAUGUAUUUUAAGUGUCUGGUUCAGAAAUAACACACAAGAUUUGUUAAUGGUCUCGAACCAGACACAUGUUAUUUCUCAAUACUACAUUCAAUAGAAAGUUUUACUAACAAAAAACUACAAUAAGCAAGUGUUAUUUUUACAAGUAAUUUUUUCGAGCACGAAUUUCAUACUAAAUAAAUUCAAAACUAAUACAUCACAAUAAUUAUUCUUCUAUACUAUACUUAAGAAUUCAUUUAGAUUUGGGAAUUUUUCCAAUGCAAUUAAAUGAUAUGUUCGUUUUCAUAUAUUACAAAUGUUUAUGUCUGCUUCUAAUAAUUAUUCACAACUCGCAUACAAAAACAUAACAAUAAGUGAUAUACAUAAUACAAAUGCAAAUGAUCAAUAAAUAUAUCUAAGCUUUAAGGAUAUAUAGAUGACUGAUGUACGCGAAGGUACCGUUUUUGACAGCAAUGGCAACAACAUCAGACGAACAAAAAUACUUGAAAUAGAAUUUUACAACUUAGUGUUAAUUUACGAUAAAAGAAAUUAGAUUAAAAAAAAUAUUAUGUUAUACAACAAAUAAUAAUACAUAUACAAAAAAUAAUACAUAUUAGUAAAA